AGAGUUUGAUCAUGGCUCAGAUUGAACGCUGGCGGCAGGCCUAACACAUGCAAGUCGAACGGUAACAGGAAGAAGCUUGCUUCUUUGCUGACGAGUGGCGGACGGGUGAGUAAUGUCUGGGAAACUGCCUGAUGGAGGGGGAUAACUACUGGAAACGGUAGCUAAUACCGCAUAACGUCGCAAGACCAAAGAGGGGGACCUUCGGGCCUCUUGCCAUCGGAUGUGCCCAGAUGGGAUUAGCUAGUAGGUGGGGUAACGGCUCACCUAGGCGACGAUCCCUAGCUGGUCUGAGAGGAUGACCAGCCACACUGGAACUGAGACACGGUCCAGACUCCUACGGGAGGCAGCAGUGGGGAAUAUUGCACAAUGGGCGCAAGCCUGAUGCAGCCAUGCCGCGUGUAUGAAGAAGGCCUUCGGGUUGUAGAGUACUUUCAGCGGGGAGGAAGGGAGUAAAGUUAAUACCUUUGCUCAUUGACGUUACCCGCAGAAGAAGCACCGGCUAACUCCGUGCCAGCAGCCGCGGUAAUACGGAGGGUGCAGGCGUUAAUCGGAAUUACUGGGCGUAAAGCGCACGCAGGCGGUUUGUUAAGUCAGAUGUGAAAUCCCCGGGCUCAACCUGGGAACUGCAUCUGAUACUGGCAAGCUUGAGUCUCGUAGAGGGGGGUAGAAUUCCAGGUGUAGCGGUGAAAUGCGUAGAGAUCUGGAGGAAUACCGGUGGCGAAGGCGGCCCCCUGGACGAAGACUGACGCUCAGGUGCGAAAGCGUGGGGAGCAAACAGGAUUAGAUACCCUGGUAGUCCACGCCGUAAACGAUGUCGACUUGGAGGUUGUGCCCUUGAGGCGUGGCUUCCGGAGCUAACGCGUUAAGUCGACCGCCUGGGGAGUACGGCCGCAAGGUUAAAACUCAAAUGAAUUGACGGGGGCCCGCACAAGCGGUGGAGCAUGUGGUUUAAUUCGAUGCAACGCGAAGAACCUUACCUGGUCUUGACAUCCACAGAACUUUCCAGAGAUGGAUUGGUGCCUUCGGGAACUGUGAGACAGGUGCUGCAUGGCUGUCGUCAGCUCGUGUUGUGAAAUGUUGGGUUAAGUCCCGCAACGAGCGCAACCCUUAUCUUUUGUUGCCAGCGGUCCGGCCGGGAACUCAAAGGAGACUGCCAGUGAUAAACUGGAGGAAGGUGGGGAUGACGUCAAGGCAUCAUGGCCCUUACGACCAGGGCUACACACGUGCUACAAUGGCGCAUACAAAGAGAAGCGACCUCGCGAGAGCAAGCGGACCUCAUAAAGUGCGUCGUAGUCCGGAUUGGAGUCUGCAACUCGACUCCAUGAAGUCGGAAUCGCUAGUAAUCGUGGAUCAGAAUGCCACGGUGAAUACGUUCCCGGGCCUCGUACACACCGCCCGUCACACCAUGGGAGUGGGUUGCAAAAGAAGUAGGUAGCCUAACCUUCGGGAGGGCGCUUACCACUUUGUGAUUCAUGACUGGGGUGAAGUCGUAACAAGGUAA
rnacentral:rRNA from 1 species